AGCAAAUCAUUAAAGAAAAUCUGUGGUUAGCUCAAGAAUAUCAAAUCUUUCAGAACUACUACUUAAAAGAUAAAGAAAACCUCACAGAACUCUAUGACAGUAGAAUCAAGGUGGAAGCUGCAGUUAGAGAUCAUCAUCAGACAGCCCAGGGCGAAUAGAGCUGAAGACAAACUGUACUAGCACUUCUUUUCUUCCACAGUACAAAUAGAUGGACAUUGUUAGCGCUUCCUGCUACUCGAUCAUUUCUUCUAACAGACUCAUGCAUUAAUAUGCCCGUAUGCUAAAUUGCAGGGAAAACCUGGUGUGAGGGCAGUCAGUCCUCAGUCAGAUGGGUUCUCCAAAUGACUGUACAAACACAGCGAUAAAGACUCCAAACCAAAUUUCCCUUCUUGAUGUCCUCUUGGCUGUGCAUCUUCUUCCACGAUCCUUUUGUAGAUUGAACACUGGUGGAAUCUUCUAUCUUCAACUCUUUCUUGCAAAAAAUUAUCUUUAUUUCAGAUCAACUAAAGUAGUGACUACUUUUUGUCAUUGACUCAAGUAGUAUCCUUUUCCAGCACUCCCCACAGUAGCCUAUGACUCUUAUAUUUCCUCUGGAUACCCAGAUUCCUAUGUAAUUCCUUCCUGGGUAACUUUCAGGAGGAAAUAACGGAACCAAACUUUGAACUGCCUGUCUUUCAUUCUGUGGCAGGUGUAGAAGACAGUUACCACUGUAAUAAAGAAAGUGUGAAUUGAAAUCUCAAGGUUAUAUGGUCAAAAUUAAGGGCUGUGCAGUGCAUUAUUCUGUGACCAUGAAUAUGUCGAUUUCAUUAAAGCUGAAGAACCUGGAAAACAUCAUAUUUUUAGAUCUAUGCACUUUGUCGCUACUCUUGGCAACAUCUGGAAAUGCUUCCCAUAGUCCCCAUCCACAAGAGAAGCACCCUUCCUAGCUACUUGCAUCUCAUACACAGCCUUCAUUGGGCAUGUAAUUGUGAUGAGCCUAAUGAAAACUCAGAGCAGAGAUGCAGUAACCAGCAGUCUAGAAGAGUUCUUAAACUAGGGAGUAGCUUCUUAAAUCCCUCAGCUUCAGCUGACUGUGAGCAUGCUGUCAUUUCAUUGCAAAUUCCAGACUAGUUACUUUAAAACAGUGCUAGAAAUAUUCCCAUUCUACUAGUAGUUCUGUUCCAGAAUUUCCAUUCUACUGCAAGGCAUAUCUCAGGAAUUGUGUAGAUUUAUGCUGCUCACAUGGUUCACUACACCAAGGUCUUAGGCACACACAGAAUAUGCUCUGCAGGCAUACUCCCUUCUCCUCUCUCACUCCCUGUCUCCCUUACUCUCCUUUCCUUAGGCCAGCUGAGUUCAUGAGAAUAGCAUACGGAUCCAUAUGUGUGGACUUCUCUGAAGAUGUGGAUUUGCACAGGUGCAACUGAAGGGUUGAGGACCAUAGGUUUUUGUGAUGAAGUGUCAAGAAGAAAGCAUCUGAUUUGGUUUGUAGAACUUGCAUUGUGUGUAACAGUUAAGGAAGAGAUGUUCAUCUUUUUACUUGUAAAUUCAAUACAUUUGAUCCUAAAGCCAAUGAAUGAUAUAAAGCAUAGAAUCACCAUGUUAUUUUCCAGAGAAAUAUUAUUUGCUGUGUUAGCUAGGUAGCGUCCUUUCACAUCUGAAUCAAACUGCAGUUUUAUAGAACAGAGGAAAACUUCUACAUCCUGAAGUAUAACAAAAGCAAAUUCACAUCCAUUCCCUGCAGAAAUCUCUAUCUUGUUACACAAAUUCAAAUGUAAGUGUUUUAAAGAUAUGUUUCUUUGACACCAUAUUAUACAUAUAAAUGAUAGAUUGCUAUUAUUUUCUUCCUGUGUCUAUCUGAAAACAAAAGCAGGUAUAUACUAUAUAACAGUAUAUAUUUUUUAGCCUUCUAGAGAUUAUGUUCAUUUCAGACAUCAAAUUCAGGCUAAGCAAAAUGUCAAACUUUGCUCACUAAUUUCAUACUUAUCUUUUCUUUUAAUAUCCUGUCUUGGUUCUCUAGUUAUAACAUAGAUACACCUAAAGUUUGCUAGAAACAUUUGCCAUUAGCUUCUUCUAAAAAAAUUAAAUUUGAGGAUAAUCCUACCUCCAGAGCUUAUUCUGUUCCUGGCCAUUGACUGUGACAGUGAAAGGCUCAUCUGAAAGCACUGGAGCAUCCCAUCUAAAAGCAUAAAACAUAUUACAUUUCAUGAAAAAGCUAAUUCAGAUUGUUUAAUUCUGGUAAUAUUGCCUCUGUCACCUUCAAAAUCAAAAUGUUCUUUCCUGUUAUUAUAAGGAAAACAACCAAAUUGCUUAAAAACCCAUUUGAAUACACAGCUGCCUUAUGUUGCAUACUAAUUUGAUUUAAAACACUUGUGCCUCACCAGCAUUUUUAUACUGAUGAAUUUAACGAAGAAAUAUAAAUAUAUUUUAGUAAUUUUUGAUGACAGAGUACACUAUACUGUCCACAAUAUCCCUGGACCGAACAAAAAUGUCAUUGCAGUAUUGGAAGGCACUAAACUGAAUGUCUUUCUGUAUUUGUUUGCUCAGUGCUUUGGGCAGUGUGCCAACCUCAUUGCAAAUAACUGCAUUAGUCAAGUGUAUCCAAAUUAUUACAACAGAGCGUCCAUCCCAGUUAUUGCUGUUGAAGCAUUUUCUGAAUCUUCACAUCACUAGAAACAUUUAUUUGAGGGGAAAGCUUUGCAUAAAUUCCGGACAAUUUUAAUUUUAGACAGAAAAUCUUAACAUCUUUACAAGUUACUUAUAUAACUAGCUCUUCCUAGAAAGAAGAAUUAGAAAGUCAUUGUACUACUUUUGUUUACUUAUUGUGAACAUCUUGUCUAAAGUAGGGAACUGCCAUGGGAAAACAGUGAAGAAAAGAGGAGUCAGAACAGAAUUCACUGUAUUUAUUUUUCAGCUUACAGAAAUCUAUUGUCAAUAGUCAUCUCACCUUCUUCUAUCUUCAGUCUACCAGCUCAAAUCCUUAUUCCUUGAUCUAAAUGACAAUGAUAUGAUAAGUCUUUGUUGAUUUCCAUUUACCAUGGCUUCAUAAGAGAAAUCGCAGAUAGUAUGUAUCUUAAUCUUUUCUCUGCUGGAGGAAAUCCUCCUCCUAGAGCAGAGUUGUCAAAUCUUUGUAAACAUAGCAACCUUUAUAUUAAAAUAUUUGUAUGUGUGCAAGCCACAGGGCACGAAGCUCCCCACGGUCCCACCAUUCCAUUUCAGGUCACAGUGAGCAGGUGGGCCCCAAAACAACUGAGUAAUACUGGCUUCUGGAGCCCUCGCUGGCUUACAUCUUCUCACAGUUGGUGAUUUGUAUUAUCCUGCAAUUUCCAGCUCAGCAUAGCCCUGGUUUUGAGAUAUACUCCUGGAAGAAGAGAUGCAUUUGGGCUGCUUUGAGAGCUACAACGCCAUUCAAGAGACACAGACUGAUCUUCCUGUUAUAUACAGCUGGCCUGCCAGCGUGAAGGAAAUCCUUUCCUCCUUGGUUUAGAAUCAGUCUUUUCCAUGUCUUAGAGUGGGACAACAAUACCUUUUUCAUUAACCCCACUGAAACAAGACUUCAGCCUGCCACAGUAGGGAUGUGUCCUUGUGAUUUUACUCUCAACACAAGGUUCAUCAAUGUUCUGUAUUUUAUUAAGCCUUUUGGUUUGGGAGUAAAAAUUCCAGCCUGUUGUACCUACAUGUAUCACUGAGUUUGUUGAGCAAUUUAGCAUGGACAUAAGUGAGAUAGUAUUAAACAGUCAUUAACCAGUUAGUUUCGUCUGGUGCACUGUAUUUUACAGAAAAGUAUAUAUUACCGUGCAGUGAAAGUCUGUAUCAGAGAACUUGAUUAGAAACAGGAAAUUGCAAUAUUUUUUAAAAUACUCAAAAUUAUGUUGAAAGUUCUCUAAAUUUCUUGUGAAAGAGAGUUUUUAAAACAAUUGACUUUGGAACCCUGACA